ACCGCUGGUGAGGGGCAGCGGGACGCGGUGUUAUUUUCUUCUGGUCCCAGCAGAUGGCAAUGGAGAAAUGCAAUUUCUGGUACCUGAAGAAUGUGAGACUCUGAUGAUGUGCAAAAAGGAAAAAAUAAAAAAAUAAAAAGAAGAAAAGCAGAACCAGGAGAAAAACGUAUUCAAUUUACCAGAGGAGACCUACACGAGAGAGACCGCAUCGGGGAAACGCGACGGUCCGGGGGAGAGAGGAGAGAACGUACGUCCUAACCGUCCCUCAUCUCCGUGCGGUAACUCGGCGAGAAGUUAACGGCUCACAGCAGAGCGAGGGGACCUCGAGGAGCCACGGAAAAGGUGCCCUCGUCGCAGACACGAGAGGAUGGAUUUCUCAGAUCUCCAAGGGACCGAGCGCUUCGUUUGAACAGCAGUGCUCUACCUUCGGGACCGUUGACCGCUUCUCAUCGGAAAAUAGGUCGGCACGAUCGUCAUCGCACCAGAAGGUACUAGAAAAUCCGAACCACGCGGGGAAUGAUGCGGUAUGGCGGCUCAGGUGGUUAUUCACUCAUUCGUUCGUUCGGUCCUAUUUAUGGAGCGCUUACUUUGUGCAGAGCACAUUCCCCGCCCGUGACGGACUUACCGUCCCGCAGGGGAUGAUGAUCGGCGUCAGUUGAUCCGCAGCGUCAUCUGAUCCGGGCGGGGACGCAUUCGAUUCGGCGCUCACGAGACGAUGUUGAGAGAACCGCGGUUCAUGGAAGGAAUUCUUCUUCGGCCUUAGUCGAGGGGGAUCUGAGGUGAAACAGGGCAGUCAGUCAAUCGUGUUUAUUGGGUGCUUACUGCGUGCAGAGCACUGUGCUAAAUGCUGGGGAGAGCGCAAUACAACCAUCAGCAGAUGCAUUCCCUGCCCACAGUGAGCUCACCGUCCAGAGGGAGGGAAGACGCAAGGAACGAUGAGCAGAAGCCUUAGCACGCUAGAAUUCCACAGAACCCAGGAGAAGUCUCUCUGAGGAGAGACUGUCAGCUCACUGUGGGCAGGGAAAGCGUAGCUACGAUUGGAUUAGCUCGUAGUAUUUGUUAAAGCGCUUAUUAUAUGCCACGUCAUCAGCCUGCCGCGGUAGAUACAAAAUAAUCACUUUAGCUGCGGUCCCCCUGUCUAAGGGGGAGAACGGGGAUCUGAUCCCCAUUUUGCAGAUGAGAAAACAGACAGAAACAUUAAGUGACCCGCCUAAGGUCUCACAGCGGGCAAGUGGAGGAGCCGUGAUUAGAACCCGACUCCCCCUAACCCCCGGGCCCGUGUUUUUUUCCACCGGACCAGCUGACAGAGGAAAUAUAGUGUUCUUUCCUCUAAGUCUGACAGAGGAAAUCAUUUCAAAGAAAGCUAGAAAAUCAAAAGGGAGCUUUCCUACUGCAUAAAAUACUGAGAAGCAGCCUGGUCUAGUGGAUAGAGUCCGGGUCUGAGACUUGUGUCCUUGGGCAAGUCACUUCACUUCUCUGGGCCUCAUCUGGAAAAUGGGGAUUAAAACUGUAAGCUCAGGGUGGGACACGGGCUGGGUCCAACCCGAUUAGGCCGUAUCUUCUACCCCAGUGCUCACCCCUCUCACGGUCACACCUGGAGAGUUUCCAGUCCUCUACCAGUCUCGCCUACGGGAGGGAGGGCCAAGCAGAGGCCUGUCGAUUCCAUUCCUAACUUGGGCAGUGGUUAGCGAGCGGCAGGCCGUCGGCUACAAGUCAAAACUCACCUGUGCCCAGCAGCAGCGGCACGGGAGAUAAUCGAGGGCGGAGACUCGGGUUUACUGCGCGGAAGGAAGCGGUAGUAAACCAUUUCCGGAUUUCUACCAAGAAAACUCUACGGAUACACUGCCAGAACGAUCGCGGAUGGAGAGCGGGGCGCUCUGGGAGAGAGGCGUCCGUGGUGUCGCCGUGGGUCGGAAACGACUCGAUGGCAUAAGACAAGACCCCGGUGCUUAAUAUAGUCCCUGGCACAUAAUAAAAACGUAAGCACACAGUGAAAGCUUAAGAAAUACCAUCAAAAACAAGAUGGAACUGGGCAAAAAAAGCACUCAGAAGAGACCAAACCGCUUCCGAUCCCAGCCGGAGCCGGGGAUGGUAAAAACGGUAGGAUUGUUAGGUUUACUGUAAUGGUUUGGGCUUCUUGCCGGAUGGAACAUACCAGGAGCUCCCCCCGAGUGGGAGGAAAACCCCCUCCAGCCACCUCUCCAAAAAGGGCUCGGUUUGUUUAUCCGCCCACAGAGGCUCGCAAGGGGAGAGAGUCCUCCUUCGCUGAGGACUCUCACUUUCCACAGGCCGCUUCAGAGCUCCCCGGGGUAGACUUGCCCGUCUAAUGGACAUUAAGGGCCUUGGUUCUCAUUGCUUUAAAUAUCUUUCAAGUGCAGAGUUGGAAAAAUAUAGCAAAACGAUAGGACAAAUGCACCAUGUCAUGCAUUAUACGCCCAGCCUGAAAUGUCUGCGCAUCCUCGUCUGGAGAUUGUAGCUUUCCACUAUUUCUGUUGAGUAGGACUUGGGCCUCUUGCCCCCGUGCGAUAUGUGUUGCGUUGUUUUUUUUUUUUUCUUCUGGUUCAAAGAAAGUCCAGUUGCUUUUAUCUCCAAGACAGGUUUUCUCCUAAUCUUCAUCUAGCAUUCACGUAGUUCUGGCAGAUCUUUCGGUACUUAUUUUACCUCUUUUCUGAUGUAUUCCAUGUGACGGUAAACAAAAGAACACUAAACAGAGUUAGAACGGUCCAUGCAGACUUUGUCCUGUUUUCUUUAGGCAGGAAUUGUAGGACCGAAAUAGUGCCUUGAGAGGAUCCAAAGCGGGGCCCCUGGGUGGUCUAUGGUGUUAGCCUAUCACGCCUUUUAAUAAUAACGUUAAUGUCGGUAUUUGUUAAGCGCUUACUCUGUGCAGAGCACUGUUCUAAGCCCUGGGGGAGACACAGGGUCAUCGGGUCGUCCCACGUGAGGCUCACAGUUAAUCCCCAUUUUCCAGAUGAGGUAACCGAGGCCCAGAGAAGUGAAGUGACUCGCCCACAGUCACACGGCUGACGAGUGGCAGAGCCGGGAGUCGAACCCAUGACCUCUGACUCCGAAGCCCCGGCUCUUUCCACUGAGCCGAGCCGCCGUAUCUUCCUUCCCUGGGACUCACUCGGGGAACGGUAAAGAUUUCCCGAUGCGGGAAACUUUACAGCUGAAUUGGGUUUAUUCUCAAGUGGAAGAGUUCUUGAUUCAGCUUUCUUCUAAGCAAACAGACACGCACGCAAAGACUCCCCACACAGGUGUAAGGAUAACCAUCCGGAUUACCUGAUCCAAGAUUUAGGAUUGGCUGGGUGGCUCCCAGGCAGCUUCCAGGCCUGUGAAUGGCUGUCUAAUAAGAAGAAUGGUACUCGUUAAGCGCUUACUAAGUGCCAAGCCCUGUUCUAAGCACUGGGGUAGAUACAACUUAAUCAGGUUGGACAGAAUCCCUGUCCCACAUGGGACUCGCACUCUUGAUCCCCGUUUUUCCCACCGAGCUAAAUGAGGCCCAGAGAAGCGAAGCGGGUUGCCCGAGGUCACGCAGCAGACGAGUGGCAGAGCCGGGAUUAGAACCCAGGUCCUUCUGCCUCCCAGGCCCGGGCUCUUCACACUAGGCCACGCUGCUUCUUAUGUCUAGGGAGGGAGGGGUCCACGACCCUAUCGUCCACCCUCCCAGGGACAGGACGUGGGGUUGGGACUGAGAUUGAGAAAGGCCAGGGCUAGGGCAAGAGGAAGCAGCUUGGCCUAGUGAAAAGAACACAGAUCCGGGAGUCAGUGGACUUAGGUUCAGAGCCCGACUCUGCCGUUUGCCUGCUCUUGGGCGAGUCACUUCACUUCUCCGGGCCUCACUUACCUCAUCUGUAAAAUGGGGGAUUAAUGUUGGUAUCUGUUAAGCGCUUACUAUGCGCCGAGCACUGUUCCAAGCGCCGGGGUAGACGCAGGGGAAUGAGGUUGUCCCACGUGGGGCUCACAGUCUUAAUCCCCGUUUUACAGAUGAGGUAACCGAGGCACCGAGAAGUUAAGUGACUUGCCCAAAGUCACACAGCUGACACGUGGCCGAGCAGGGAUUCGAAGCCGUGACCUCUGACUCCGAAGCCCGUGCUCUUUCCACUGAGCCACGCUGCUUCUCUAGCGGGAUUAAAUCCUCCUCCCUCAAAUUUAGGCCGUAGCGCCACCCUGACGUUGAACAGUCAGAUCAUUAUACGGGUGGGACGGGGACUACGUCCAAUGUCAUUAUCUUGUGUCCACCCCAGCGCUUAGUACAGGGCCUGGCACGCAGUAAGCGACUGAUCGGUACUACAGAACGAAAAAAGGAACUGUACCACCUGGAGAAUUUAGCUCUGACACAGGACUAGGUCGUAAGCUUGUAAGCCUCUGGACUGAAAGAGCACUGUGGGCGGCAAUAUAUCUACCAACCCUGGUCUAACGGUAAUAAUGACUGUCACAUUCAUUAAGCGUUUACUACGUGCCAGGCGCUCCACUCAGGACCGACGUAGAUACCGUACAAUCAAUCCGAUUGGACAGAUGGGGUUCACGGCCUAUGGGGGAAGGAGAACAGGUAUUCGACCCCCAUUUUACGCAUGAGGGAACUGAGGCACGGAAAGUUAAAUGACCGGCCCCGGGUCCCGCAGCAGGCGGGUGGCGGGACCGGGAUUAGAAUCCAGAUCCUCCGACUCCCAGGCCCGUACUCUUUCCACUAGGCCACGCGGCGUCUCCACCUUCUAGCCUCUGAUAAGAAAAUUUUCUACGCAACUGUUAAUUCUCUUCCAGAGACAAAUGAGGAUAAAACAUAGGAAAUAUGCAGUGCGUAGGUCAAAAAUUCACCCAGAGCUUCGUCGGAAAGAUUUUCCCAGAUCCAUUCGAUUCCAGGGGCAUCUGGAGGCUGCUGCAAGCCUUCCCGAAUCCUCAAAUUCUUUUCACUUCCAUUCCCGACGCGAGUCAGAUGUUGGUCUGCUGGCCUGGUAACAAAGCUUG
rnacentral:lncRNA from 1 species